UUGUCCUUGGCUCAGGACGAACGUUGGCGGCGUGCUUACACAUGCAAGUCAAGGGGAAAGGUUGUCUUCGGACGGNCGAGUAUACUGGCGAACGGGUGAGUAACGCGUAGGUAACUUGCCUAUCAGUCUGGGAUAACACUGCUAACGCGGUGCUAAUACCGGGUAUACUGCAUAGAUCGCAUGUUUUUUGCAGGAAAGCGGGCCUCUGGAACAAGCUCGUGCUGAUAGAUAGACCUGCGUCCCAUUAGUUAGUUGGUAGGGUAACGGCCUACCAAGGCAGCGAUGGGUAGCCGGCCUGAGAGGGUGACCGGCCACACUGGGACUGAGAUACGGCCCAGACUCCUACGGGAGGCAGCAGUGAGGAAUAUUGCGCAAUGGACGAAAGUCUGACGCAGCAACGCCGCGUGAGGGAUGAAGCUUUUCGGAGUGUAAACCUCUGUUAGGAGGGAAGAACGUCUAUUAUUCGAACAGGGUGAUAGAGUGACGGUACCUCCAGAGAAAGCCCCGGCUAACUCCGUGCCAGCAGCCGCGGUAAUACGGGGGGGGCGAACGUUGUCCGGAAUUAUUGGGCGUAAAGGGCGCGUAGGCGGGAAGGUCAGUCAGAGGUGAAAGCUUGUGGCUUAACUGCAAGUUUGCCUUUGAUACUGCCAUUCUUGAGUUCGGAAGAGGGAAGUGGAAUUCCUGGUGUAGCGGUGAAAUGCGUAGAUAUCAGGAAGAACACCGGUGGCGAAGGCGGCUUCCUGGUCCGAUACUGACGCUGAUGCGCGAAAGCGUGGGG
rnacentral:rRNA from 1 species